CCCAACUAUCCCUAUUAAUCAUUACGUCGAUCCUAGAAACCAACAAAAUAAGAUCAAACGUCCUAUUUCAUUAUUCCAUGCUAAUGUAUUCAAGCGCGAGCCUGCUUUAAACACUCUAAUUUUUUCAAAGUAACAGUCCUGAUUCCCCGCCACACCAAAUAAAUGGCAUAACGGUUCUUCAGAAGGGAGGAAUCAGUGACACCAGUACAUACCAAAGGCACGACCAGCGUACUGAUCCCGAAAUUCAACUACGAGCUUUUUAACUGCAACAACUUUAAUAUACGCUAUUGGAGCUGGAAUUACCGCGGCUGCUGGCACCAGACUUGCCCUCCAA
rnacentral:misc_RNA from 2 species